CCCUUAGAUGUUCUGGGCCGCACGCGUGCUACACUGAGUGGAUCAGCGGGUCAGGUUGCGCGAAAGCGUUUCCUAAUCUUGAAAUCCGCUCGUGAUGGGGAUUGACGGUUGCAAUUUUCUGUCAUGAACGAGGAAUACCUUGUAAGCGCGGGUCAUCAUCCCGCGCUGAAUACGUCCCUGUCCUUUGUACACACCGCCCGUCGCUCCUACCGAUUGAGUGGUCCGGUGAGGCUUUGGGAUCUGAGCGGAAAGAGCGUUUCGCUCGUUCUGCCCGGAAAACUCAGUCGAACCUUAUCAUUUAGAGGAAGGAGAAGUCGUAACA
rnacentral:rRNA from 1 species